AACGCACAUUGCGCCCGCCAGUAUUCUGGCGGGCAUGCCUGUUCGAGCGUCAUUUCAACCAUCAAGCCCUAGGCUUGCGUUGGGGACCUGCGGCUACCGCAGCCUCUUAAAAGCAGUGGCGGGCUCGCUGUCAUUCCGAGCGCAGUAGUUAUAUCUCGCUCUGGGUGUGGCGGUAGGCACCGGCCGUAAAAUACUUUUUCUAAGGUUGACCUCGGAUCAGGUAGGAAUACCCGCUGAACUUAA
rnacentral:misc_RNA from 1 species